rnacentral:lncRNA from 1 species
CAGGCCUCAGAGGUCUAGAAAGACCUGUGUCCCGGGUCAUCCCUCCAGGAUGUUGCUUGGCCCUCGAGGGUUGAGGCAGUGAAUCCUGUGCCAAAGGCCUCUUGCCUGGAAGCCCUUCUGUGAGCUGCUAGUGCCUGCUUGGGUGGCUCUACCCAGCCCUGAAAGUGGUUAAAAUAGCGCAUUGGCUGUUGAAAGCCAAGUUCUGUGUUUAGUAGCCUGACAUGAAGAAUUUCACUCUGGGAACCAGAAGGAUCAAACUCGGGUCCUUGUGCUUGCGCAGCAGGCAGCGAAACCACUGAGCUAAAUCCCCGGCCCUAAGAAACUUCUUUUCACCAGUUGAAAACAGUUUGCUUAUUUGGAUCAUAAACUUUAGCCAAAGUAUGCAGAAAAAUACAGAAAAGCAUAAAAAAGAAAAUGAAAAGCAUGUAAAAUCCCAGAUGGAGA